UAGCUCAGUUGGUUGAGCCUGGUGCUGAUAACACCAAGGUCCCGGGUUCAAUUCCCGU
rnacentral:tRNA from 1 species